GACGAACCGUGCGAACGUUAUUCGGAAUCACUGGGCUUAAAGCGCGUAUAGGCGGGCGGGAACGUCGGUCGUUGAAAGCCCCCGGCUCAACCGGGGAACGGGCGCCGAAACGACCCGCCUCGAGGGACGUAGGGGGACCUGGAACUUCCGGUGGAGCGGUGAAAUGCGUUGAGAUCGGAAGGAACGCCCGUGGCGAAAGCGAGGUCCUGGACGUCUUCUGACGCUGAGACGCGAAAGCUAGGGGAGCGAACGGG
rnacentral:rRNA from 1 species